GAUGAACGCUGGCGGCGUGCCUAAUACAUGCCAGUCGAGCGAACAGAUGAGGAGCUUGCUCCUCUGACGUUAGCGGCGGACGGGUGAGUAACACGUGGAUAACCUACCUAUAAGACUGGGAUAACUUCGGGAAACCGGAGCUAAUACCGGAUAAUAUAUUGAACCGCAUGGUUCAAUAGUGAAAGACGGUUUUGCUGUCACUUAUAGAUGGAUCCGCGCCGCAUUAGCUAGUUGGUAAGGUAACGGCUUACCAAGGCAACGAUGCGUAGCCGACCUGAUGGGGUGAUCGGCCACACGGGAACUGAGACACGGUCCAGACUCCUACGGGAGGCAGCAGUAGGGAAUCUUCCGCAAUGGGCGAAAGCCUGACGGAGCAACGCCGCGUGAGUGAUGAAGGUCUUCGGAUCGUAAAACUCUGUUAUUAGGGAAGAACAAAUGUGUAAGUAACUAUGCACGUCUUGACGGUACCUAAUCAGAAAGCCACGGCUAACUACGUG
rnacentral:rRNA from 1 species